rnacentral:rRNA from 1 species
AUACGGAGGAUCCGAGCGUUAUCCGGAUUUAUUGGGUUUAAAGGGUGCGCAGGCGGGAGAUUAAGUCGGCGGUGAAAUUUUGCAGCUCAACUGUAAAAGUGCCUUCGAAACUGGUUUCCUUGAGUGUAGAUGAAGUAGGCGGAAUUUGUGGUGUAGCGGGGAAAUGCAUAGAUAUCACGAGGAACUCCGAUUGCGCAGGCAGCUUACUAAACUACUACUGACGCUCAGGCACGAAGGCGUGGGGAUCAAACAGGAUUAGAUACCCUGGUAGUCCACGCAGUAAACGAUGAUGACUAGCUGUUUGCGAUACAAUGUAAGCGGCUGAGCGAAAGCGUUAAGUAAUCCACCUGGGGAGUACGUUCGCAAGAAUGAAACUCAAAUGAAUUGACGGGG